rnacentral:snoRNA from 15 species
CCCUCCUACAAAGGCGUGUCUGUGAUCUCCUGUCCUUGGACACGUAAGAAUUGGAGGCAUAGAGAUGUGGACUUGGAGAAGUCUGGAGCCAGCUUGCUCCCUGCAGGCUCAAGAACACCCUUUCCCACACAG